rnacentral:tRNA from 2 species
UUUAAAGUGGCAGAAUUAUAAUGCAAGGAAUUUAAGCUUCCUGUAUGAUUUUUAUCCUUUAAAA